rnacentral:tRNA from 1 species
GGCUCCAUGGUGUAAUGGUGAGCACUCUGGACUCUAAAUCCAGAAAAGGUAGCCA